AGAGUUUGAUCCUGGCUCAGGACGAACGCUGGCGGCGUGCUUAAAACAUGCAAGUCGAACGAGAGCUUCGGCUCUAGUGGCAAACGGCUGAGUAACGCGUGGGUGACCUGCCUGGAAGUGGGGAAUAACUGCCCGAAAGGGUGGCUAAUACCGCAUGUGAUGGCCGGACCGAUCCGGUCAUGAAAGUCUUCGGACGCUUCGAGAGGGGCCCGCGUUCGAUUAGCUAGUUGGUGGGGUAACGGCCUACCAAGGCGACGAUCGAUAGCUGGUCUAAGAGGAUGAUCAGCCAGACUGGGACUGCGACACGGCCCAGACUCCUACGGGAGGCAGCAGUCAGGAAUUUUGGGCAAUGGGCGAAAGCCUGACCCAGCAACGCCGCGUGGGUGAUGAAGGCCUUCGGGUCGUAAAGCCCUUUUCAGGGGAAGAUGAUGACGGUACCCUGAGAUAGCCCCCGA
rnacentral:rRNA from 1 species